CCCGCCCAGGUGGCGGCUCCCACCCCCACCCCAGCCUGUGGGGCCAACUGUGUCCCCACCUGCCGUCCCCCAGGUACAUGGUGGAUGCCGCUGACCAAGAGAAAAUUGAGGCCUCCAAGAAUGAGCUCCACAACCUACUGGACAAGCCCCAGCUGCAGGGCAUCCCGGUUCUCGUCCUGGGGAACAAGCGAGACCUUCCGGGAGCGCUGGAUGAGAAGGAGCUGAUCGAGAAAAUGAACCUGUCUGCCAUCCAGGACCGAGAGAUCUGCUGCUACUCCAUCUCCUGCAAAGAGAAGGACAACAUCG